GUCCACUCUUCGCUCCUCACGCAGCCCCUCCGCACGACCCUGCGCGGAGGCGCCUGGAGAAAGUGAGGAAGAGCAGGCGGCGGGAGGGCCUGGAUUUGCUAGUGGAACUAGGUUUUUCCCAAAAGAGGUGACAGAAUAACUGAGAAGAAUCUGCUGGGCUGUGGAAUCCAGUCCUGAGCUCACUAGGGAAAUAGCAAACUCAUCUAUAACCAGAUCUACAGCUUUUUUUUUUUUUUUUUUUAAGAAUCAAGUUAUUGAUUGAUCUAUUUCCUGAAAGAAAACCAUGAAAGCCCUCCUGGAGGCUGCCCAACCGUCUGUGAACUUGAACCUGAGAAAUGGACUUUUUUUUUCAUCAGGGUGAUCUCCUUCAGCUGAAUCAUCAGAAGUGGUGAGAAGAAAAGACCCCUACCCAACCAAACUGCUUCAGGCAAAUUCAAUCCAUCUGUCAAGGAAUGGAGCUGUACAGUGCGGCCAGAUCACCGUUUGCUUGCACCACCACUGAGCUAUCUCUCUAGGACUGCCACCUACAUAUUAAGUGGCUGGAAGGAGCCUUUCUGUGAAAACGACAUUUCAGCUGGGACCCGAGGAUGAAUUGGAAGGAGUGUGUGAAGUGAGUCCUCCUUGCCAUUUAAAGUACAGGAAAAAGAAUGAAACAUUGCCAUCUGCAGCAGCUUGAAUGGAUCUAGAGAUUAUCAUACUAAGUGAAGGGUACCUGUCUUGGGAGAACCAAAGGAUUGGUUGCAGGAUUUAAAAAAAAAAUGUUAUUUAGUUAUUUAUUGUUGGCUGUGCUGGAUCUUUGUUGCUGCAUAUG